GCCCUCAUGGUCAAGCGGUUAAGACGCCGCCCUCUCACGGCGGAAACAGGAGUUCGAUUCUCCUUGGGGGUGCCA
rnacentral:tRNA from 1 species